rnacentral:rRNA from 1 species
GACGAACGCUGGCGGCGUGCUUAACACAUGCAAGUCGAGCGGAAAGGCUCCUUCGGGGGUACUCGAGCGGCGAACGGGUGAGUAACACGUGAGUAAUCUGCCCUGCGCUCUGGGAUAGCCACCGGAAACGGUGAUUAAUACCGGAUAUGACCGCUACACGCAUGUGUUGGUGGUGAAAGUUUUUCGGCGCAGGAUGUGCUCGCGGCCUAUCAGCUUGUUGGUGAGGUAAUGGCUCACCAAGGCUUUGACGGGUAGCCGGCCUGAGAGGGUGACGGGUCAAACUGGGACUGAGACACGGCCCAGACUCCUACGGGAGGCAGCAGUGGGGAAUAUUGGACAAUGGGCGGAAGCCUGAUCCAGCAACGCCGCGUGAGGGAUGACGGCCUUCGGGUUGUAAACCUCUUUCAGUACCGACGAAGCGAAAGUGACGGUAGGUACAGAAGAAGGACCGGCCAACUACGUGCCAGCAGCCGCGGUAAAAC